GAUGAAGAACGUAGCGAAAUGCGAUAAGUAAUGUGAAUUGCAGAAUUCAGUGAAUCAUCGAAUCUUUGAACGCACCUUGCGCCCUUUGGCUAUUCUGAAGGGCAUGCCUGUUUGAGUAUCAUGAACACCUCAACUCUCAUGGUUUGCCAUGAUGAGCUUGGACUUUGGGGGUCUUGCUGGCCUACGGUCGGCUCCUCUCAAAUGAAUCAGCUUGCCAGUGUUUGGUGGCAUCACGGGUGUGAUAACUAUCUACGCUUGUGGUUUCCCACCAGGUAACCUUCAGUGAUGGAGGUUCGAUGGGGCUCAUAAAUGUCCCUCCACAGUGAGGACAGCUUUUGAACGUUUGAUCUCAAAUCAGGUAGGACUACCCGCUGAACUUAAGCAUAUCAAUAAGCGGAGGA
rnacentral:misc_RNA from 1 species